GGGUGAGGUGGGUCGUCGUGUUCGGGCGUAGGGUUAGGGGGUAGGGUAGAGAGGGGAGCUGGAGCGCGCGGCAGAGACGGCGCUAGGGAGUGGGGAGUGAGGCGGGGUUUAGCGGCAAAAAAAGAGGGGGUGGGGCGGAGCCUAGCGCGGGCUUGGGGGGAGCGGGCGGGGCGGGGCGCGGGGGCGGGGAGGCUGGGGUGGGGGUUUGGGGGUUAAGAGCGCGGCCGGGACGCGCGUUAGCCUGGCCUAAGGCCGAGCUUAAGCUGGCGCGGCUCCGGGCGGCAGAGGCCGCACGCAGAGAGGAGGUGUCCGCGCCCAAGCCGCGCCCGAGCCCGCCGGGCCUGCCUCGGGGGCGCCUAGAUCCCAAAGCCUCGAUCGAUCCCAAAUGGCGGCCGCCACCGCUAGGCCACUACCACGCCGCGCCGCGGCCGUCGGCCGCUCCUCCCCAGCUACGCCCCGGUACGCGCCGCCACUCGCCGAAGAGCAAGCCGUGUACACCGGCCGUCGAGCGCAUCUCCGUCGUCGAGGUCGUAGCCGCGUGCCUGGAAGAGGAGGGUGAGGAAGGCCGAGCACACGGGAAGGUGGCGACUGUCGGAGGGUGGGUGGCCACGGCUGCUGAGGGGGUCGGUGCGGCGCCUUCGUCGUCGUCGUCCUGCCUGCCCUCUAAGCUCAACCGCUGACACGAGAAAAAGCACGAUAACUACAAGGAGGAAAGCAACCUAACUAUGCAACCUAACUCUUCGUCCUUCUUUCGUUAGGGUUCAAUGCACAUUCAACCGAUAUAUCUGGACGACUGCAGUCCGAGUUGUUCCCCUAUGUUGACUUGCGACGGGGUUUGCUCCAGAAGAUGAGAAAGGUGGUUCUGCUCUGUAGACGACAAAGUGACGAGGUAGGAACAUUUCAACGGAAAAAUGCAUUUCCACGACUCGACAGUAGACCCUAAAGAAGUAAACAUACAGCCGCACACAUACUAUAACUGUUGUUCACAAAUACCACCGAAUGGCUGUCUCUAAUAUAAUUACUUGCCGUCCUUCUUCAUUUAGCCGAGGAUCUGUCUUGCUUCGAUCUUUACGUACCACGUCACGCCAGUCCACCCGUGAGUGGUUUUGCCGGUUUACAAGACAGUCGAAGGGUCGUUAACUUCCGAACAAGUCUGCCACGAGUUUUAACACCGGGUAGAUUUCCCUUCUUCUCCCUGUCUCCACUCGUUCCUUAACUUGGUCGAUUCGCUCUAUCACUAACAGGAGGAUUCCAACUACUGUCACUUGGACCUUUACAAUUCCCCCUGUUAUACUUCAGACUUUAACGUCUCUACUGUCUUUUCCUACCUGAAGGAGUACGACUUCGACAACUGUUCGAUCAAGUUAAGUACGUUGAACUAGUUUAACUCGCCUUUUACCUGGAACGGCCGGCUCAUUCCGAACGACUAUAAUAACGUCGGUGUCUUUCAGGACUAACGGAAUCGUCUAAAUACGUUGAUUCCCCGGAAGGCCAGAACUUACUAACCGAAGUUCUUUGAGUGUUUCCCUUCAGACCACUUCCCCCAUCAGGAUUUCUUUGACUAUUCGGAUGACUUCUUGAAUAGGACCGGGACGAAGCACGUGAUCGCUUUAACGGAUAGUCAGACUAACGGAAUGUUUCGACGUCAUAACCCUUUAGACAGUUAGUAGACGCGUCGAUAUUUUUAGGCCUCUAUGUCUCCUUCCGAUCCAUAGAACAACUAUCGACCUUCUUCGCACAACUACGACUUUACUUCAGCUGACUACGUUUUGGACAUCACAGUCCAGUUCGACAAAGGACCAGUCCUUUUCACCCCAAGGGCCUUUAAAGAUCACGACCUUUGCCUGCUUCACCGAGUUCACUCGGGUCAGGCUUUUCACGUCCCAAAGUAGAAAGAAGUGGUUUCCGAAACUCACGAUGUAGACCACGACGACUACGACAACGUUUCAGUUUAGGAAAGUGUAGACCGAGAAGUUUUAAUGUUGUGUACGUUGGUCGUUUACGACGUCGGUUGAACUUCCUGAGUGGUACGUUUAGUCGACGACCCUGAACACCGGGACUAAAAGGAUGUCACUUUCUCCUCUUUUCAACGUCAAGUUCGGUGAGUAACUUAUUGUCGGUCAGUACGAGAUCACUAGGACCUUUUUGUCAACCAAGAAACUUCCUCCUACGUGCCUCGAGUUGACGACAAAGUCGCUCACGGUCAUUUUAAAGACGUGAACCGGUAGCUUCCCAUUUGUUACCCGAAGAACCAAGACCUAAGGUCUUCCUUCGACGAAACCCUUCCAGGUCGGUUUCACUAUCAAGAAAUAACGUCCUUUCUAGUAGUGUCAGACCGAACCGUACACUCUUUCCUCGACUGUGUGGAGUGUAGUUGUUAGUUUCUAACUAACAAGCCAAAGGUUUUGGUUCAACAUCGGGACGAUCCUCGUGUUCACCCCCGAGAACACUCCUCGGUAGUCAAAGUCCCUCAUCUCGAAGUAGAGGACAAGUGCGUCUAUUCGUACUUGUCUUACUAGCAUCCCACUUUUACUUCCAACUUUUAAGAGUCCGAGUAAAUCCAAGACUACGAUUACGGCUCGGACUCGCUUCGUUACUAUGAUUUUCUUAACGUCCAAGGCUCCUUCCACUAUUUAGUGGAACACCAUACGACCUACCACUGACAUCGUCCUGACGACUUCUUAGACGAUUCCUAUGUACACGUAGUGCUCAACGUACGAGCCGUUUAUACCUACUUUUUCUGCAGACGAAUCCACUUUGGUCUCACGCCUUGAAGUCGGGAAACUUACGAAACUAACUUUAGUUUAUGAGGCUUCCAUCAGUAAGGUACGUUCGACCUCUACUAUGUCGUUACUUAGAAGAACGAUCACAACGACCUCUUCAUAGAUUUAGACUUAACUACAGUAGACGAAGUGGCUGCUUAAGCAGACGUUUAUUUGUACCGAUACCUCCGGUCUUAUAAGUCUUCGAUUUUCAUCUCACACUACGUCCGGGUAGUGUCGUGGACCUAGGUAGUCUACUACAACUCUUUCAGUAGAGACUCUUCCUUCUGUUUUUACUACUCCUUGCUGCGAACUCCUUAAGACCUUGAAUAAAUAGUAGGGUACUGUUGUUCCCUUGUAGUAGAUGAUCGGGCGGAGAUGGACCUUAUCUAAGAUUUCGACAACUUAGAAGUCAACUAAAUGAACCACCACCACUAGGCUUCGGUUUACGGUCUGUCGGUUGACUAUAAUUCUAACUACGUUUCAAGUUAUAGUCGUAACGACUGCGGCUGCGCCGUAGUCCGUCAGUUACAUCACACCAACGAGGUUUAUCUUGUAAUGAGGGGAGACUCCUUAGCAGAAAUACACCACGACUAUUUGUUCCAGUUCCAAAUAACUUUAGUAGUCUAGUCUGUGUAGAAGUACCAGAUGGUCUAGUGGAGCUUUGGUAGUCUAGAUGACUGUUGUCACCGCGACUAUUUAACCUAAGUUUCUGAAGUAAGAGUAGAAACCAACACCUAUAUUUUUUACGACUACCAGAUCACCAAACGUUAUUUCACGACUUUCUCGUACUCUUUUUUCUUGUCGGACGCAGGUGAAGUCGACUACAAUGGUUUGGUCUACAUAGUCAUCACGGUGAACCACGUCGCUUACCCUAUAGACACUAAUCUCUUAGUUUUCUGACAAGGUCACUUAGUUCAUCAGUUCGUUUUGUAGCGUGAUAGUACAGAGUCCUAUGGCUCGUAUGACGUUCCGUGUCAAGUUUCUUUGGCUCACUACUUCACCCACCCUUUCUCCUGUAACAGAGUAGUCUGCUCCCAAGAAGAUACCGAUUGUGGUUGAGUUUACCAUGUCGAUUCGAACUGAAACUAAACUUACUUGAACCCCUGCUCCCCUUAGUGAGACUCGGUCGAUGGAGAUGACAACAUACAAGCAGACGUUAAGUAAAUGGGCCAGAAAGAGGUAAGCAGAGUGGAUAAAAUUCACCAGACGGCCGGGUUUAUUGUCAACGACGAGGUCGAUUUCCUGGAAAACAGGGAGGGCUCUUGGAUGAUUCCCACUUCGGACUCCGACCCACCUUUCCACGUCGUCGAUGUUCACGUAAAGCAGGACGCCUCGGUGCCUUCUGAAAUCCCUACAAAGAUUGAUGUGGACCAUCACGUCACAGACUACGACGGCCCUCCGUUAGAGCGGUUCGUAAACUGUAACUAGAUUUACAUCGUCUACUGGUUCAAGAUCUCCUUCUAUAGAGUGUCUCAAGACGGGCCUGUUAACCAAGACUUAGACCGUUGGGAUCUUCAACGUCACCGGGACAUGCUUCACGACCGAAACUUGAACUGAACUUAUACCGGCCGCUUCAACGUCUCUUAUUGGUUAAAUAGAGUUUACGAAGUGUGUCUCAACUUCAGUGUAACAACGGUAGUUCUGGCAACGGUCUUCCAAAUGGAUCAUGACUAUGUUCAUCGAGCUCCUUGAAGAAACUAGAGUUAUUGCCUGGUUCGGAACUACUUCGGUCAUGUCUCGGACGUGUUUCCUGGGAUAGUAGAUUUCCACGAUCGUCGUAUGGUAAGGAUGGAGUUCAACGACCGGAAUCUUACUUGUUAUGACUUUAAUCAUUGUACAGUGGUACCAUACGAAGACGAUUGGGUCCACCAGGGCAUCGAUACGUCAGCAAAAAAGGAGGAUCUCUUGUCAGAAUGGGUUAACUUUGUCGUGGACCUUGGGUCUCCUAGUAACGCGGAUGACGUCUGCCGCCGGUUAAACCUUCACCAAGUCCGUCCGGAGGUCAAUAAAGGUGUAGUGGUCGGUACCAGAAGGUGGGAGGCCGUAUAGUUAUACGUCCUAAAGGAAAACGAGGGCCACAAGUGGAAGUUUGUCGUCCCAAAGGUUAACCUAGCCACGGUAUACCGUUAAGACGUGGACGUCCUCAAUGUAUAAAAGGUUGGUAACGAGGUAGUAAACGACCCAGUUGUCCGCGUAAUGGACGGGUCGUACGUUCCGUCAUACGUUAUUUGGAAGGACUUCCAUCGUCGUCACUACCCGUACUGUCAUUGACCUUUACCUCUUCUGUCCCCGAACUGGAAUUAAGACCUGGACCUUCAUAUCUAUAUCUUCCCUUUCUGCUCGCUCAUGGAGAUAGCGAAUCCGUUUUAAACUAGUGUGGCGGUGUUCGCAAACACCUCCUCGUUCGUUCUUACAAUGUUUACCGCCCACAUCCUUAUUUCUCCUUCCUUGGGCUCCCGUCAACCCUACGACUUUCUCGUAGUAGUAUGUUUGUUGAUAGUACCGUUAUUCUUGAAGUUCCUCAAGAGGAACGUCGCUGAAGUCUCAGACACGAAAAUAAACGUCCCCGCUGACUUACCCCACAACAUAACGUGGGCAAACCCGCACCACUCUAUAUGUUCAGUGUACCUAAGUAGAGGAACUACUAAACUUAACGCUCUCCUUGUUUGGAAACGACAUUAACGACAUUUACAAUCAGUAUAGGUAUGAAUGGACCUUGUCAAAACGAGUCGAAGUCGUCAACGGAACGAUCUCAAAGACAUGGACGGUCCGAACGAAGAUAAAAUGGGUCCUCCCAUACCGAAACCUCUACCUUGCCACUAAACAGGAGCCGUAGAAGUUCGUAGACUUUGGCGACAUAAAUCAAAGCCAGCCCAACAAAAUUCAAGAAAAAAAGGCUAUUUCACAAAAGUGUAACGACUCCUGCAGUCGUCAAAUUGUAUACUAAAUCUACACUGUACAUAAGGACGACCCUUCGCAAUAUUGGCAUCUACUCCUUCUUUAUUAAGCGGAACUAACUGCAACAGAAGACGUAGUUCGAACGGACAACCAAAGGUACACGAAAGCCGGUACGUUUAAAAGCAUACACGAACACAAUAAGGUCCAUACCAAA
rnacentral:rRNA from 1 species